UCAAGUCCCGCCCAGAAAAGGCCAGCCUUCAUGCGUCUGCUCUGCUUGAUAAACUAUCCGCUUGCAUGGGGCUUCCACCCAUGGUAGAACGUGACCCCACCGGCCUAGACAACACCGAGUGGAAGGAUGUACGAGUGCAGCGUUGCUGUUGUCCUCUUGUGUUAUCUCUUAGUGUUAUCUCCUACUCAGGCUGGUUUCAGCUGCUUGCACCUCAUCUUCUCUAUCCCUCCUUCUCUUUGCCUUAACUCAGCUACUGUCACCAGAGGCUGAGGCUUAGAGUACCCUUCCGCAACCUGGUGCUUUCUGAAGGCUGCUGGGAGUUGUAGUCCUGGAUGGCACCAGGAUAGGGAAUGGUGUCUUGAAGAAGAUGCUGAGGUUACCCAGGAUGGGAGUGGGGGAGAUGAAGAAACGGGUAACAAUGGGCCUGCAAGGAUUCCUACACCUUGUGUCAUGUCCCUCAUGUUUGGAGGAAUGUGCCAAGGUGUGGCUUGUAGCAAAAGCACUCCUGUCCUCCUAAGUCAGCUGCUGGGCCCCUGCUGCAGCAGAGGACACAGCUGGAGCCAGAAGGCCUUUGGCCUGUGAGAAGCACUUUGUCAGGUGAAGAAUGUGCAUGCAGGUGUCUCAGCCACCCCAUUUUGCAUCUGACCCCUCACUGAGCCCUCUUAAUAUAGGACAGCCACCUCCCCACUCUCCCUUUGGCAAGGCUCCUGUGCUUUUGACGUAUCCACAGAAAUGCAGCAAUGCAGCCGCUAGAACUUUCCCCCUAGAUCCAGUUCUGCCCUAGGGAAAAGCUGCACCAACUGAAUUUCUGCCUGCCCUACAGUCCUUAGGUAUAAGAGCCCUGCCCAGGGUGAGAAUGACAACCCUUUUCUAUGCCGGAUUACAAGCCUAGACCUUUCUUGGUACCAGGAGCAGAUGGUGCUCAGCUGACCUCCCGUCAGUUGUGUCACUGCUGCUCACUGGGAGAAGAAGGGGCAAAUGGUGUGGUUGGCACCAUGCAAUGUAUAAGCUGAGCCAAUCCAGUGCUCCUGCUGGUGCGUUUACACCACACCAACCUCCCCUCUACCUCCUUGUAGGCAGUAGAUGGGACUUCCUUGAUGGGAGGUCAGGGGAGUGUUGCCAUCCCACCAAUCCAUCUGCUACCACUUGGUGCGGCAUUUGGACGUACUCUGACACAUGCAUCCUGUAACUGUAAGUAAGGACUGAUUUGGAAAACCUCUGCCAAAACCUGUCCUUCGGCCUUUUCCAAAAGCAAGUUUUGACCAAUUUGGGCAGGUUUGUUACAAUGUGUACUCCCCACUGUUUGACAUGGUCUCCAACACAUGGAGCCGGGACACAGGAUAUCUGGCCAACCCACUUGGCAACUUGACCUUUUCAAGGCAGCAGCCGCUGUAACCGGUUAUGUGGGUACAGCAACCACUUUAUUUGGCCAGAGGAUAAGAGAGGCAGGUCAAAAGUAGUGACCUAGUGGGAGCCAGCUAAGCAAAGUGGCCACGAGCUAUAAGUCAAAAAGAAUUGGUUCAGACUUUAAACCUCAAUCAUAAACUUACUGGGUGACCUUAGGCUGAGAGAACAGGGGUAUGCAUAUCUGCAAGCCAGGGUUAUUAACAUGGGCCUGCCUUAUAGGGGUGUUGUAUGGAUGAAUGAGGCAAAUAUCUACAUAAACACUUUGAACACCUAUGUAAGUGCCAAGUGUUGUGUUUAUGGGCUGAUUUGGUUGACCAGAGGCAUUUGGGGUUCUUUAAUUCACUUUUGCUUGUGGCUUUGGCACAUAUUAAGCAUUUAAGGCGUGUGUGCAUGGAUCGGGUGAGGUGGGUGUGCCUGCUGUCUUGCACUGGGAGGGCGGUUUGGGCCAAGGGGUCUUGCUGUAAGGAAAUGGCAUGUGUUGGCGGUGAGCAGGAGCCUGGCCUGGAAGCUCACAUCUGCAUAACCUUUUUCAGGUGGCUGUUGACUUUCUUUGUACAAAAACACUAAUUUAUACCAGCUGAGGACAUCUUAUUGUGUCAGAUCUUUGUUGGUAACUGGGUUUUCUGUGUGUGUGUGUAAAGAUUUGUUCUAUGUAAAUAUAGCUUUAUAAUAAAGAAAUAUGAAAACAAUAAACCCUUAUUAUUAU